UACGUAGGUACCGAGCGUUAUCCGGAUUUACUGGGCGUAAAGCGUGUUCAGGCGGCCUGGCAAGUCGGGCAUGAAAUCUCUCGGCUCAACCGAGAGAGGCUGUCCGAUACUGCUGGGCUUGAGGACGGUAGAGGGUGGUGGAAUUCCGCGUGUAGUGGUGAAAUGCGUAGAUAUGCGGAGGAACACCAGUGCGAAGGCGGCCACCUGGACCGUCCUGACGCUCAACACGAAAGCUAGGUAGCAGAACGGG
rnacentral:rRNA from 1 species